GUUUACAGUUUUGAGCUAGAAUGGUUGUGCUAUUCAUUUCUUUUUCAGAUGUCUUCCAUACUUCAGUGUUCAUAAACCGAAACCGAGAGCUUUGAAAGAUGAUGGGAUUGUGAAGAUGUUUAGGGUUUGUAAUGGAGGAGGAGAAAAGCGUGGGAUCAGUUUGGCUCUGGUUAGGUCAAAGUCAUGGAUGGGCCAUUUGUUGAGCAUGGCAUCCUCGUUUUGUGGUUUGGCCCUAUUCUCCCACUCACAUGUUAUUGCAAGUGCAGAGCAAGUUCCUAUUUUAAGCUGUUUCUUGCAUGUGAUUUCAUUCGACCUUUUUUCUCAAAAGACUUCAAACUUUUCAAAAUUAAGGAAUAAAAUACUGUUAGUUUAUAUCA